rnacentral:piRNA from 1 species
UGCGAUGCUUCAGAAACCAGGUGU